rnacentral:misc_RNA from 1 species
CUGUAGAGGAGGCGCUAUUUUGACUCAACGGCGUCGCUGUCCGUCAGCACGCCGAACACCAUCGGAAGGACUGCUGAGAGAGAGGGGCGCUGUGGUGCGUUCCACGCCGUUGCUAUUGAGGUGCCUGUACAGGCAGAGCGGCAUCAUGUCUGCCAUCACUUCAUUUGCCGCUGCUGCCAACAGCACCGUCGGUGCGUCCCCCGCGGAGUACGUGAAUUACGUGGACAUCAAGCUAGAUGGUGUGCACCACCUUCCCGCCGAUUGGGUCUCCGCCGGCUUUCCUGUCCUGACAUCCGGCACGGCAGGUGGAGCGGCCGGUGCUGGUGCCAACCAUGCGCACGUGCACGACAAGGAGGGUCUGACGGAGGAGACGGAGGUCGCCUACGCGUAUCACCCGUUCCGCUACGAGGUUACCCUCGCACUGCCCGCUGCGACCACGAAUGCGACGGCGGCUGCAGACAACGAUGAGGCGGACGCGGCUACUGCCGAGACUUUCAGAGAGGAGCCGCCGCCGAACACCGACGAGGGCGCAAAACUAGGCAUGUCCAUUGUCGCCUCCUUUACGCGCGGCCGGCUGCUGGCGCCCUUGCCGCAGUAUACGGCGUACAUCGCGGCAGCGGAGCCGGCGCCGGCCCCCGGUGUGGACGACGCCAGCCCGCUGCGAGACGUGCCUGUCUCCAUCAGCGCGGAAAGCGAAAUGGCCGCUGCCGGCGCGGCCGGCGACGAAAGGGAGGCGUCCGAGGCAGGCAAGGCGUCUGACAGAGUGGCCGCCGCUGGCGCCACGCCGGCUGUUCUGUGGGUCGUGACGGAGCGGACGGACGCGCCUGGCGCCAGCGGUGGAGCGAAUGGCGUCGAUGCCGUGGGAAUGGUGGCCACAAAGCGCCGAGCGAGGUCGACCACGCCCCUCGCCCCCGCUGCGUCUGCUGCCGCUGCUGCUGCUGCUGCUUCGGCAAACAAUACCGCCGCUGCAGCCGUUCCGGGAGCGCCUGCGCCGCCAGUGCCAGAGCCCAGUGAGCCGGCUCCGUGCGUCGUGCGCGUCCCUCUGACAGCCGUGCAGGAGGCGUACCUUGAAGGCUUGCUAGAGGCUGGCGCGCCGCUGAAGCUGAGCUUCCGCCGCGUCCUGCGUCCCGGCUGCCCGGCCGAGUGGGAGGACUUCAACGCCGGCUACUUCGAGGCUGAGAUCCCGAUCUCGCUGCACGCCUUGGCGGAGCCGGGGUCGACGCACCUGGCUGCUGAUGUGGCACUGCAACCGACGAACGCGCCGGAGAAGCGCGCCGCCGCUGGGUCGGUGCCGUCGGAGAACGACCCGGCCGACCGCGGAAAGAAGCGCACCGUCACCCGCAAGCAGCGUCAGAUGGUGCCCAGCAUCCUCAUCGACGUACCCGACCGCGACGCCCCACACCCGUACGUGACGGCUGGCACUAUGGCCACCGUCUCCCUCACGCUGCAGCGCACUCUCACUCCUCUCGUCAGUGACCGCGUGCGGCCUGCCGUCACGCCUACCCAGCUGAUCCCUCCGCGGCCCACGCCGACGGUGUCCGCUGCGGCCGCCGAUGACACACAGACGCGACUCCAGCAAACGUUGCUGGGGGUUGUGCGGCAGCUGGUGCGCGAUAUGCGCGGCGCAACUCAGAUGAAGUCGUGCGGAUUGUCUGGGUCUGACGACGCGGCCUGGCGCACCGACUUUGUGGCGGCUCUGCAGAGCACCGGUGAGCUGGCCGCCUUCAAGAGUCAGCUGACGCCGCUGGUGACGAGCCUGGUGCAGGAGCGUCUGCGGAGCGGCCUUACCGGUGGCGGAUCGCCGCAGGAGGUGGCACGGGCGAGCAACGAGCUUUACGUUCAGCUCAUGGACAUGCUGCACAGUGCCCUGCACGAGUGUGCCGGCGAAGGCGACGCGGUAUCGAGCGUGCCACAGCUUCGGACCACUUCGAGCGGUGGUGCGCCGAACAGCGGCGAGGAGCAGGAGGUGCGGUGGCGCGCGAUCGAGGCGGAGGUGAGCGGGGACUUCGAGCUUGCUGCGAAGCUGUACCAAAGCCGUCUGGCCUCGCACGUCGCAGGGGACAACUGGGCGGCACUUUGGGUGGACUGCGGCCUCUUCUACCAGCGCACCGAGGAGUUGGCCAAGGCGGAGCAGUGCUACCGCGAGGCGAUUGCCUGCGACCCGUAUUGCACGUCGGCGUUGCUCGACUACGGAGCAUGGCUGCUUGCCCAGGACCGGCUGGAUGAGGCGGCCGUGUUCUUGCACGGCCUCGUCGACAUUGCACCGCAGCACAAGCUGGGAUGGGGCUGCAUUGCGCUGCUGGCGGACUUGCACGAGUUGGCGGUCCGCGUUGGCAGCCCGGACGCGGCGGUGGAGCAGCAGAAGUGGCGCAGGGAGCAGCGUCUGGCGCUGCGGAAGGCGGCAGAGUGCGGAGCUGUGAGCCCGAGCCACGCCACCGGUGGUGCCGACAGCGGAGGGCUUUCGGGGAGCAGCGGCCCGGCCAACGACUCCGUCCCGACACCUCCUCCUGCAUCAUCGCAGCGGGACGCUGAGGAGGAGCUAAUGUACUUGGAGGUGGCGACAUACCUCGUGAACCUGCACCACCGCGAUUUGGCGAACGUGUGCUUGGCACGGUGCCGACCCGGGGCGCUGCAGGUGGAGCUGCUGUACGCGCGUCUGUUCACGCAGGGUGGGCAGUACGAGGAGGCGCUCAGGACACUGGACGAGAUCAACACGCCGUCCGGCGCGCACACAUCUAUCUCCGCGGCGGAGCAGCGUCUUGUAGACGAGUGUGCGCUGCUGCGUGCCGAGUGCGCCGCCGCGCUCGGGCGUCCGUCCGAUGCUGUGAGGGUGUACAAGCAGGUCCUGUGCCGCGGCGAGCCGCCCACGGCGCCUCCGUACCUCGGGACCCUGACGACAAACUGGCAGGCGCAGCUUCAGGAGGUGCAGUCAUUCGGCAUGGCUGGCAAGAGUGGCGCGGCAAGGCCGGCGCAGGCGCUGCUGGACCAGCGCAUCACAGAGGCCGAAAGCAUGCACUACUUGUCCGCUUACCUGCAUCUGUGCAACUUACUCCUGAGGGAGGGUCGCUACCGGGACGCGCUGGGCGUCGUGACGCUCGCGCUGCAGGUGUGGCCGAGCAGCUCGGUGUUGUGGCUCGGCGCCGGCGUCGCCUACUACCGCGCUGGCGACCUGCUGCCGGCGGAGGAGUGCCUGCAGGAGAGCAACACGCUGAACCCGGCCAACCCGCGCACAUGGGCCUACCUCGCCCUGCUGGCGGUGCGGCUGCACAAUGUUGGGGUGGAGGAGGUGGUGCAGCAGCUGCUGACCCUAAACCUGGAGGACGCUCCGUUGUGGGCUGAGCUGGGCCGCACCCUGCUGGGCACUGCGCGAUUUCCACGGCUGAGCGUGCUGUGCCUGCGCCGGGCUGCCGCGCUAGUGUCUGGCAAGGGUGGCGCCGUUGAUGCCAUCUUGCCGUCGACGCAGUACCACCUCGCACACGCGCUGAUGGAGCUGCAGCAGUGGGAGGAGGCGGAGCAGCUGCUGGGCAAGGUCGCCUCGAACAGCGGCAGCAAUGAGGUGCUGCGUGGCAAGGCGGAGGAGGAGCUGGCGGUGCUGCGCGCCGGUCAGUAACGCAAUGGUGGUACAACAGGAAUGACCUCUGCGCGUCUUUGUGUAUGAAAAUACUCGUGCGUAUCUGCCGCGUGUGUGCACGGGAGCGGGCAGAGCAGGCGCGCCAGAGCUUAGGAGCAAAGUUGAAAUGCAGACCUCAUACACACGUGCGUGCGCGUGUGUGUGUGUGUCCGCCUGUCCUCCCCCUCCCCAUCGCGCGUGCGUCUUGCGGUGGCGCUCGUCCUUUGCUCGUUUCUCAUGUACAGGCUUUUUUUUUUUGAGCGAGCGCCUCUCUCCGUUCUUUGUAUGU